AAAGGUCUAGGUCAGGCCAAUCAGUGGCCAGAUCUGAAAAUGGUAGCUGUGCUGGCCACUGAGAUUUGGACACGCCUCUGAGAACACACAGGGGUUAAAAGCAGAGCAUUCCCAGAGGAACUUCCUCUUUGACCCGGCAGCAGUGUAAAAGACCUAAAGAUCGUGAUUGCCUCCAACAUUGUUAAGAUCACAGUAGGACUUUGCCCUCUGCAGCAAACUGUGCAAAGCAGCUGCUUAUCUGCAAGCAACCAAAACCCACCCCCCGCCAAGCAUGUCUCUGCAAAUACCUGGAGAUUUGGACUUUGAGUUAAAGCCACCUGAUAAGAAUUUGAGGACCCCCACCGCUGAGAUGACCAGAAAAAAAGGACCAAUGGGACCCACGGGUGGUGAUAUCUUUUAAUUAACCUGUCUCUCUUUCUUUU